rnacentral:rRNA from 1 species
UACGUAGGGGGCUAGCGUUAUCCGGAAUUACUGGGCGUAAAGGGUGCGUAGGUGGUUUCUUAAGUCAGAGGUGAAAGGCUACGGCUCAACCGUAGUAAGCCUUUGAAACUGGGAAACUUGAGUUCAGGAGAGGAGAGUGGAAUUCCUAGUGUAGCGGUGAAAUGCGUAGAUAUUAGGAGGAACACCAGUUGCGAAGGCGGCUCUCUGGACUGUAACUGACACUGAGGCACGAAAGCGUGGGGAGCAAACAGGAUUAGAUACCCGGGUAGUCCCUGAGCGGGCUGG